GAUGAACGCUAGCUACAGGCUUAACACAUGCAAGUCGAGGGGUAACGAGAGGAAAGCUUGCUUUCCUUGUCGACGACCGGCGCACGGGUGAGUAACGCGUAUCCAACCUGCCCCCAACUAGGGAGUAACCUUGCGAAAGUAAGACUAAUACCCUAUAAUUUCCUCAGAUGUCAUCUGACGAGGAAUAAAGAUUUCUCGGUUGUGGAUGGGGAGGCGUCUGAUUAGCUUGUUGGCGGGGUAACGGCCAACCAAGGCAACGAUCAGUAGGGGUUCGGAGAUGAAGGUCCCCCACAUUGCAACUGAGACACGGUCCAAACUCAUACGGGAGGCAGCAGUGAGGAAUAUUGGCCAAUGGGCGGAAGCCUGAACCAGCCAAGUAGCGUGCAGGAUGACGGCCCUAUGGGUUGUAAACUGCUUUUAUACAGGAAUAAAGUUAGCCACGUGUGGUUAUUUGUAGGUACUGUAUGAAUAAGGACCGGCUAAUUCCGUGCCAGCCGCCGCGGUAA
rnacentral:rRNA from 1 species